rnacentral:lncRNA from 1 species
GGGUCUAAAACCUCUUAACUUACAUGUGAAACUGAUCAUAUUUUCAGGUAAGUUGUUUUUUAAGUUUUUAAAUGUUACAGUUAAAAUGUUGCCAAUCAGCAUGAAAUUCUUUUAAUGUGCCUGGAAGCUGAUACUGUAGAAACUAAAAUUUUAAAAUAUGUACUAGAUAAGAUUAAAUCUUUGGGGUAAAGACUAUUUCAAAAGAAUUUUCUAAUAAGGAAAAAUGAAAAGGCUCUUUAAAUUGAUUUUCAAGUUAAUUUUUAUUACUUAUACAAUUUUGAUUUUCAGUAUGCAUCUUUCAAAUACAGUCUUUUGGUAUAAACAAAGGUAGAAAUGUUAAGCUAAUAAGCAGGAGAACAUAGUCUAUUUUAGUAGAUGUGUGGAUAGUGUAAAUACUACUACUUUGAAAAAAAAUCAAAUGUGAAAAUCUACUUUCUUUUACAAACAUUUCUACAGGUCCUCUCUAAUUAUAAUAACGAGCCUAUUUGAUAUAUUUUUUAUCCAAAGUUUCAAUUCAUUAAUGUAUAUAUGUGUAUGCUUGAGCCCUAACAGUGUAGCCCUUUCCAAUAUGAGUGAUGAGGCCAAAACAUGAGAUAUAUUCAGAGAUAAAUGGACUAGAAUCAUGUAGUUUUAAAAUUCAAAAUACAAACAGUAUUUAAAUCAUCUCAAUAACAGAUAUUUCACACACAUGCAAUUAUAUUUUUAAACUGAAGAUGGAAAGAGGUGCCAAAUUAGUGUACUUCAAGAGAAUGCUUUUUAAUCAUGAUAGCACAGAACUGUUUCUACCUCUGUGAUUUCUACUAGUAGAAAAAUGUCUUACAACAACACAUGUGGUAUAUAUUUACAAAG